rnacentral:rRNA from 1 species
UACAGAGGUCCCAAGCGUUGUUCGGAUUCACUGGGCGUAAAGGGUGCGUAGGUGGUCGGGUAAGUUUGAUGUGAAAUCUCCGGGCUUAACCCGGAAACUGCAUUGAAUACUAUUCGGCUAGAGGGUUGGAGGGGAGACUGGAAUACUUGGUGUAGCAGUGAAAUGCGUAGAUAUGAAGUGGAACAACAGUGGCGAAGGCGAGUCUCUGGACAACUCCUGACGCUGAGGCACGAAAGCGAGGGGAGCAAACAGG